GACGAACGCUGGCGGCGUGCUUAACACAUGCAAGUCGAACGGAAAGGCCUCUUUCGGGGGGUACUCGAGUGGCGAACGGGUGAGUAACACGUGAGUAACCUGCCCUCGACUUUGUGAUAACUUCAGGAAACUGGGGCUAAUACCGGAUAGGAGCUCCUGCUGCAUGGUGGGGGGUGGGAAGUUUCGGCGGGUGGGGGUGGGCUCGCGGCGUAUCAGCUUGUUGGUGGGGUAGUGGCUUACCAAGGCGUUGGCGGGGAUCCGGCCUGGGAGGGUGACCGGCCAAAUUGGGGCUGGGAUACGGCCCAGGCUCCUACGGGGGGCAGCAGUGGGGAAUAUUGCCAAAUGGGUGGGAGCCUGAUGCAGCAACGCCGUGUGCGGGAUGACGGCCUUCGGGUUGUAAACCGCUUUCGCUCAUGACGAAGCUUUGUGUGACGGUAGUGGGUAAAGAAGCACCGGCUAACUACGUG
rnacentral:rRNA from 1 species